rnacentral:rRNA from 1 species
UGGCGAACGGGUGAGUAACACGUGGGUGAUCUGCCCUGCACUUCGGGAUAAGCUUGGGAAACUGGGUCUAAUACCGGAUAGGAGCCAUCUUUAGUGUGGUGGUUGGAAAGUUUUUUCGGUGUAGGAUGAGCUCGCGGCCUAUCAGCUUGUUGGUGGGGUAAUGGCCUGCCAAGGCGGCGACGGGUAGCCGGCCUGAGAGGGUGUACGGCCACAUUGGGACUGAGAUACGGCCCAG